GAUCAAGUUGUCUUUAACUUUUGUAUGUUUAUUUGAUUUAACUUUGUAGAAAUGUAGCCUUUCAGCAUUAAACUAUACAAAAUAAUUCUUCAACCAAAUAUAUUCUACUAUCAGCAAGUUAGGCAGAAUCUCCAAUUCAGGACCUUGUCUGAUGGUAUCUCUAUAUUUUAUGGUAGUGAAUUUGGAGGCUGCUGCCUUCCAAUAAGUGUUAGAACUAAAUGCAGAUAUCUAAAUUUAUGCCCUCAAGUAAUUUUUGUCAGUCGGCAGCAUAACUGAGAACGUAGAGCAGAUGAUUGCUUGUUCGAAGCAGAGCAGGAGUUUUUUAAGCACAUACGAAUUCAUGUGCAUCAUCAUUCCUUAUUGAACUCCCUUAAAAUCUCUUCAAAGAGUUUCUUCAUGAAACCCACAAGAUCUUCGGUCCUUCAGGGAGAGGUAUUGUCCUUGGAAGGUGCUUUCUUUUUUUUUUUUUUUCUGGCCUUCCCAAAAACAAUAAACUUGUAGGACGGGUUCAGGUUCAUCAAAGGCCGAGUCAGAUGAUUCAUUGUCUAGUAGAAGCAUCAGUGCUAUUUGUCCCUUCUCCAACUUAUCAUCGCCUCCUAAUCACAGCACUAGAGGCACCGUCGGAGUACUCGUUUGGACUACUUCCUUCACUGGAAAGGGAUUCCAUGGCACCAGCCACAUCUUCAUACCCAGAAGAGUAUUUGACUUGAAAAAUAGCUCCACUGGCCCAAUUACUGAAUGGUUCGCCACUCCCCUUCGACUUCAAGCUCUCACUGAAACAUUUGAGAAGCAGCUGGCACUGUCCAUGGAGUCUCAUGUUUCUUCCUAUACCACAAAUUGUCAAAAAGUAAGAAUGGGAAACCAAAAAGGGCUAGUGUCACUUGCUGCUGGCACUGUCUAUCAUCUCAUUGACAAAAAUCAAAUAGGAUGCUUUUCCAAGUGAGGAUGCCAAAAUACCUUUAUAUGCAAGGUUCAAGAGGCAAAAAUAGGCCAAAUUUAAAGCCUAAAAGAAAGAAAUAAAGUCCAAUCCAUAUAAAAAACAAAAAAGCAACAAGACGAUGUCGUGUAGUUUAAAAAAUUAAAAAGAAAUCAUUUAUUUAAUUGGAUAAAUUAUAUUUUAGUCUCUAAAUUAUAUUAUAAUUAAUGAAUUAAUUUUUAUAUUUUUAAAAUGGAAUAUUUAAACUCCUUUAUUUUCAAUGAAUAACUUAAAAUAGGAUAAAGUAAUAAAUAAAUGAAAAGAGGUCUUAGAGGGAAUUUCAAAAUAGAAACUAGCCUUAUCAGAUAGUUGCAAAUGUCAAAUCAAUUGCACACAAGCUCCAAUUGACACUAGAAGCUAGUAUACAUAUUGUUUUCUGUGUGUCCUUGCUGAAAAAAAAAAUCUAGGGAACAAGUUGUGGUCUUCUAGGACUUGCUUUCUUUUGAAGAAGAAUAUGGUUAUUCAACUAGAAUCAGUCCUAAAACCAUGAUGAUAAUGAGAUGGGGAAUACUUCAUGGCCGAAUCAAAUGGAGCAGCCCACCAAUGGAAGAUGCCACAUGGAAAGACCACAAUUUCAUAAGCAAUAAAUUCCCUACUUUCAGUCUUCUUACAGACAAAAAAGAUUCUGUUGGAGACUAUUGUCACAUAUUUUAGAAGAAAGAAAUAGUUAAGUGACAAUUAUGAUUUGUUUUUAUAGGGAAUUGAUAAUUGACUAAACUUAGUUUAUUUCUCUCACCUGUAUCUCUUCGUCUGUUCUCAUUCCCAAAUCUGUAUUCUCAUCCUCAAUCUUACAGAAAGUUUGGUUAAGGAGUUUAGCCUAUUGCCUAACAUGAGGUGUUAGGACCACCACUUCUCCUUUUUCCCGAUGUUGAUGUUGAGCAACCUUGGCCUGAUGGCAAUGGAGGUUCAGUUUAUGUGGGUUGUCUUUAGAGUAUGUGUUUGGUGUUUGUCAAGCCUCAUAGCCGGCAGCCUUCUAUUUCUAUUAUCCACAAGGUUGGCUUUAUUCUAAAUUUAGGUGGUGGUCACAAUGCUUUAAAGACCAGUGGACUCUUCGUCGAAAAGCAAUAAGGUUAGGCCUACUUAAGUUUUUAUAUUCAUAUUCUUUAUUUUAUUUUCUAGCCUUAGGCUUUGCAAUUUAAAAA
rnacentral:lncRNA from 1 species